rnacentral:lncRNA from 1 species
ACAGGAUCUUGCUGUGUGGCCCAAGCUGUCCUGGAAUUCCUAAGACUCAAGCAAUCCUCCUGCCUCAGACUUCCUAGUAGCUGGCACUAAAGUGAGGUCUCAGGGCUCUAUCUUCCUUUUAUAAGAAAUGAAGUUAAAUUACUUGCCCAGACUGUUGGCGAAAGAGCUGGGAUUAAGACCCAAGUAUUCUGACUGCUAACCCAUGGGCAAGCUGAUACAAUGGGAGCUCUGCUGGCCAGGCAAAUGAUAAUGCCAGGUCCCAAAAGGCAAGAUUCUGUGAGCAACGCCUCCAGGUGUGAGCAAGUUCCAAGUAACCUCUUGAAAAAGUGUGCACCCUGGUCUGCCGCCACUUGGUAGUGGGGACUUAAGGAACAAUCUCAAGAGGGAAGCAGUCUCCACUUCCUGUCACUUUACCUAUAAUUCAUCUACCUCAAGCUCAUCAGACACUACCAAAUGUGGAGCUGGAGCUGGAGCUGGAGCAAGAAGGUAAGAGGCCAGCAGAGUAGACUGACAGCUGGCUGCCUCUAUGAAAUCCACAUUCACUGAAUCUACAGAACCUCCCUCUGCCCCAAAGCUUCUCUCAUUCUUUUUCUUUUCCUUGGUUUUCCUCUUCCAUUUGCCCAGUAUUACUCCAACCUGCUUUCCCUUGACCCCUAAAUCUGUCAGUUCUUAGCCCAAACCUACUUUCAAAAGCCAAUAAGUAAAUCAAACCCUUCUCACUCCCACAGCCACC